rnacentral:rRNA from 1 species
AGAGUUUGAUCCUGGCUCAGGACGAACGCUGGCGGCGUGCCUAACGCAUGCAAGUCGAGCGAGGGGAGCUUGAAGCUUCGGCAGAUAGCGAACCUAGCGGCGNANNNNNNNNGUAACACGUGGAUAAUCUGCCUAAGAGACUGGGAUAGCCCCGGGAAACUGGGGUUAAUACCGGAUGUGGUCACCGGAUCGCAUGGUCUGGUGAAGAAAGGGGCAACCCGCUCUUAGAUGAGUCCGCGGCCCAUUAGCUAGUUGGUAGGGUAACGGCCUACCAAGGCGACGAUGGGUAGCCGGUCUGAGAGGAUGGCCGGCCACACUGGGACUGAGACACGGCCCAGACUCCUACGGGAGGCAGCAGCAAGGAAUUUUGGGCAAUGGGGGAAACCCUGACCCAGCGACGCCGCGUGAGCGAAGAAGGCCUUCGGGUCGUAAAGCUCUGUCUUUGGGGACGAAUGUGACGGUACCCAAGGAGGAAGCCCCGGCUAACUACGUGCCAGCCGCCGCGGUAAUUC